UUAGAUUUAAGUUUCUUUUUUAGAUUACACCCAAACACACAAAAAAACCCUAGCACCUCAAAUCGUUCUCUCAGCUCCUCUCUGUCGUCGGACAUUGCAGCCAUUGUAUACCUCAAAUCCCUCUCUACCACCACCAGAUAAUGUUGAAGGCAGCUGUUGACGGUUUUUACGGCGGAGUAGCUGGUCAUCUGGCUCACUUUUGUAAGGUAGAAAAGCUCAAGGGAAGAAGCGUCCUUGUGUCUCUGCAUCAACAGCAACUACUGGUAGAAAAGCUAAAGGGAAGAAGCGUCCUUGUGUCUCUGCAUCAACAACUACUGGUAGAAAAGCUCAAGUCAAAGGGAAGCGCCCUUGUGUUGUUGGGAAUCCAUCUACUGGUUACGUUCAUCACUCUUAUAAGUGCUUGAAGAGGAAGCGCUCGAUAUAGAGCCUCAUCUCUUCUGGUUUCAGAAACCAGGCGUUGUAUCAGCAUACCGUGCUUCUGGCCCCGAAGAAGGAGAAGAAGAACCUCCAGGGAGCCCUACUUUAUGAAUCUGUCAGACUAUGAAUCUUAUCAUCGUAACACUGUUAAGACCGUCUAUCACUGGGAGGGACCAAUGGAUGAGCGAGGUCGUGUGGUUGAAAAAGUACCCUGGUGGGCUCGUGAAGAGGCUCAUGAACGCGCUAAGAUGCUCCGUGCGGACCCUCCCAAGACUCGGUCACAAACAGUAUAUACACCUUUCAUUAUUUUGUUAAAUCAAUGCCAUAGUUCUGGUCUUUCUCAUGAUCAUUUAUUACUAGUAUGUAAUUAUAUUUACGGUGACAAUUUUUAGGCUGCAACUUUGAAGUGAUAGGGGGAUCCGGCUGGACCCUGCACUCGUUUGGGCUGGGUUGUAACUUGGGUCUUCAACAUUCUCCGGCGAUGAGACAGCUCCGGUCUUUGGCUUUCUCGGUGCCGCAGCUGCCCUAGUUUUCUCCUGUAAGUUAAUCCAAUCAUUUCGAUGCGUUCAAUUUGUAAAUUGACUGAUCUAAUAUCGAGAUCGAUUUGGAAAGAUC